rnacentral:lncRNA from 1 species
CUUUCAACUUUUGUUUUUGCGUGAGCUAUAGAACUUUCGUGCAGUGUUUGGCAUUUACCUUAAGCAAACCUAAUGUAUUUUUCUUUGUUCCCAUGUUUUCAAGGGAACUGAAAUAGUGCAUCCAAAGUAAAGUAUUUCCAAUGUUUACUGUGGAGUUUCAGAGGCCCUAAUCCUACUUAGUGAUGCCCAUGUCAGUAAGGCAGUGGUUCAAGAUGAAACCUAGAUUCUUAACAAAUUCAGAUGUUUUCCAGUCAUGUUUCAUCAGCCAUCAACCUGGCCAAAAUCCAGUAUACAAAGUCAAGUUGGCGAAGGGAUCACCAUCCUUAAUGGCAUGCAGAUCUUAAAAUGAUAAGCUUUGAGCUUCAGUGUUUUUCUUUUUAUUUCCCAUCGUAUAGUUAGUGACAGAUCAACUUUUCAAGGUUCACCUCUUUUACUUACUGACCCCAAAAAAGAUGGUUCUUAGCGUGGUCUCAGAUGUUCUAUGUAAUUUCUGUUACUGUUUCAACAGAAACAGAUGUCCAUCUAGAACAAGGAGAAUCUUUUACAGUUCCAGUUGCAUCUAUGUACAAAUUAACUUUAUCAUCCUUAUAGUACUUGUAAGGAUUUGGGUAUCCAUUUUUCCUUUGGAAUUUCUUUUUGACUACAGUAAAUUUACCAUUAUCUUGAUAGCACAGUCAAACAACACUUGCAUGAUCCUACAUGCUAUAUUUCCUUUUAAUUGAAAUUACUGAUCUCAUAUUUUUGAGAGAGAGGGAGAAAGAAGAAAACUGUAAAUAUUGUUAGUUUGUGAGAAAAUCUAUUUAGGCAUAUAGUGUACAAUAUGGUUUGAAACAUUCUGUACCUUGUCAAAAACAUUCCUGAAUAAAACUGAUGGUUCUUGU